GACGAACCGUGCGAGCGUUGUUCGGAAUCACUGGGCUUAAAGGGCGCGUAGGCGGGCUGGUAAGUCAGGGGUGAAAGCCCACGGCCCAACCGUGGAAGUGCCUUUGAUACUGCCAGUCUCGAGGGAGGUAGGGGCGUGCGGAACUUCCGGUGGAGCGGUGAAAUGCGUAGAUAUCGGAAGGAACACCGGUGGCGAAAGCGGCGCGCUGGACCUCUUCUGACGCUGAGGCGCGAAAGCCAGGGGAGCAAACGGG
rnacentral:rRNA from 1 species